rnacentral:rRNA from 1 species
GACGAACGCUGGCGGCGUGCCUAACACAUGCAAGUCGAGCGGGGUUGAAGCGAGGGGUAACUCGAACUUCUACCUAGCGGCGGACGGGUGAGUAACGCGUGGGCAACCUGCCUCAAGGAUCGGGAUAACAGCUCGAAAGGGCUGCUAAUACCGGAUAUGCCUAUGGCCUCGCAUGGGGCUGUGGGCAAAGGGGAAACCCGCCUUGAGAUGGGCCCGCGUCCCAUCAGCUAGUUGGUGAGGUGAAGGCUCACCAAGGCGACGACGGGUAGCCGGCCUGAGAGGGUGACCGGCCACACUGGGACUGAGACACGGCCCAGACUCCUACGGGGGGCAGCAGUGGGGGAUCUUGCACAAUGGCGAAAGCCUGAUGCAGCGACGCCGCGUGAGCGAAGAAGGCCUUCGGGUUGUAAAGCUCUGUCGUGGAGGGACGAAGAAAGUGACGGUACCUCCGGACGGAAGCCACGGCUAACUACGUGCAGCAGCCGCGGUAAUACGUAGCGUG